GCAAUAAUGGAAGGAAACUGUGAAAAUCACACUAGAGUGUCAAUGAAAAUCAUCUACAGUUGAUGGUAUCUAAAAGCGAUAUGACACUUCUGAAGUGGCCUUGUGACAUCAUCUCUGAAUAGAGAAGUUGAAUGAAAUAAGUUUGCAAGCACAUUCUGUAAGAACUUCUCCAGAGACAUGGGCUUUAGGUAUGUCUGCCCAGGAGUGCCAGUCACCAGUAAGAGUUUCAGUUCAUGUUUAUUCUGCAAAACUGGGUGAAGAAAAGUUCAUUUCUCAGCAGUACUUUCUCCAUAGAAGGUCUAAACUUUCGACCAGACUGAAGUCUAUUCAUGUAAUCAACUGUCUUUAAUAUUCAAUGUUCUUACUACAACAGCUGGGCAGGAUUGUCUUUCCCUCCCUGAACAUUUCUUCCUUCUUUGUCAGAAAACAAAUGAAUGUCCUCAGUAUUAUCAGAGUAAGUCCUUUAUCUACCCAAGGGUGCCAGGAU
rnacentral:lncRNA from 1 species